UGCAGCGUGGCGAAGUGGUUUGAACGUUGGACUACCACUCUGGAGAUCAGGGUUCGAAUCCCCGCUUGAG